UACGUAGGGGGCAAGCGUUGUCCGGAAUCAUUGGGCGUAAAGCGCGUGUAGGCGGCUCGGUAAGUCUGCUCUGAAAGUCCAAGGCUCAACCUUGGGAUGCGGGUGGAUACUGCCGGGCUCGAGUCCGGAAGAGGCGAGUGGAAUUCCUGGUGUAGCGGUGAAAUGCGCAGAUAUCAGGAGGAACACCGAUGGCGAAGGCAGGUCUCUGGGCAUUAACUGACGCUGAGGAGCGAAAGCAUGGGGAGCGAACAGG
rnacentral:rRNA from 1 species